AUUGAACGCUGGCGGCAUGCUUUACACAUGCAAGUCGAACGGCAGCGCGGGCUUCGGCCUGGCGGCGAGUGGCGAACGGGUGAGUAAUGCAUCGGAACGUGCCCAGUAGUGGGGGAUAGCCCGGCGAAAGCCGGAUUAAUACCGCAUACGACCUGAGGGUGAAAGCGGGGGACCGAAAGGCCUCGCGCUAUUGGAGCGGCCGAUGUCGGAUUAGCUAGUUGGUGGGGUAAAGGCUUACCAAGGCGACGAUCCGUAGCUGGUCUGAGAGGACGACCAGCCACACUGGGACUGAGACACGGCCCAGACUCCUACGGGAGGCAGCAGUGGGGAAUUUUGGACAAAGGGGGCAACCCUGAUCCAGCCAUGCCGCGUGCGGGAAGAAGGCCUUCGGGUUGUAAACCGCUUUUGUUCGGGAAGAGAUCCUCUGGGCUAAUACCCCGGGGGGAUGACGGUACCGGAAGAAUAAGCACCGGCUAACUACGUG
rnacentral:rRNA from 1 species